rnacentral:rRNA from 1 species
GCAUAUCAAUAAGCGGAGGAAAAGAAACCAACAGGGAUUGCCCCAGUAACGGCGAGUGAAGCGGCAACAGCUCAAAUUUGAAAUCUGGCCCUCGGGUCCGAGUUGUAAUUUGCAGAGGAUGCUUUGGGCGAGGCGCCGUCCGAGUUCCCUGGAACGGGACGCCGGAGAGGGUGAGAGCCCCGUACGGUCGGAUGCCGAGCCUCUGUAAAGCUCCUUCGACGAGUCGAGUAGUUUGGGAAUGCUGCUCUAAAUGGGAGGUAAAUCUCUUCUAAAGCUAAAUAUUGGCCACAGACCGAUAGCGCACAAGUAGAGUGAUCGAAAGAUGAAAAGCACUUUGAAAAGAGAGUUAAACAGCACGUGAAAUUGUUGAAAGGGAAGCGCUUGUGACCAGACGUGUGGCGGGUGAAUCAGCCGGCGCUCGCGCCGGUGCACUUUGCCCGCCACAGGCCAGCAUCGGUUCGCCGCUGGGGAGAAAGACGGUGGGAAUGUGGCUCUUCGGAGUGUUAUAGCCCGCCGUGCAAUACCCUCCGGCGGACCGAGGUUCGCGCUCCGCAAGGAUGCUGGCGUAAUGGUCACCAGCGACCCGUCUUGAAACACGGACC